rnacentral:rRNA from 1 species
UACGUAGGGGGCAAGCGUUGUCCGGAAUCAUUGGGCGUAAAGAGCGUGUAGGCGGCCCGAUAAGUCCGCCGUGAAAGCCCAGGGCUCAACCCUGGGAUGCCGGUGGAUACUGUCGGGCUAGAGUUCGGAAGAGGCAAGUGGAAUUCCUGGUGUAGCGGUGAAAUGCGCAGAUAUCAGGAAGAACACCAAUGGCGAAGGCAGCUCUCUGGGACGGUACUGACGCUGAGACGCGAAAGCGUGGGGAGCGAACAGG